rnacentral:rRNA from 1 species
GACGAGUCUCACAAACGUUAUUCGGAAUUACUGGGCUUAAAGGGUGCGUAGGCGGUGGAGUAAGUCGGAUGUGAAAUACCUUAGCUUAACUAGGGAACUGCACUCGAUACUACUUUGCUAGAGUAAGACAGAGGUGAGUGGAACUGAGGGUGGAGCGGUGAAAUGCGUUGAUAUCCUCAGGAACACCGGUGGCGAAGGCGACUCUCUGGGACGGUACUGACGCUGAGACGCGAAAGCGUGGGGAGCAAACAGGG